rnacentral:rRNA from 1 species
ACUCCUACGGGAGGCAGCAGUAGGGAAUAUUGCCUAAUGGACGGAAGUCUGAGGCAGCAACGCCGCGUGAAGGACGAAGGCCUUCGGGUCGUAAACUUCUUUUGAGGAGGAAGAGGACGGACGGUACUCCUCGAAUAAGCUUCGGCUAACUACGUGCCAGCAGCCGCGGUAAU